AGUAAAUAUUAAAAAAAAAGUUUGAUGCAGCCAAUAUCUUUUACCUUGAUCAUCACAAAGAGAAGGCAGAGGAACUGAAGCAGUCGGCUCCCAGGUUUGGCAAUGAAGGAGCUGAAAUGAACCACACAGGCUGAUUUGAAUUACAUUAAACUUGUUAAGAAAUACAGACUAUUUUACUGACAGUGGCAAAUACUCACAGGCUUUUUUUCUCAUACCAAAGGAAAGGCCUUCCCAAAAGAUGAAUCCACGUCUCUGCUUCUUGCUAUACAGAGAUCUGACAGAGCUGAAAGUGUCAAAGCACCAAAGGACUUUUGCUCUGGGGCAACACAAGUUCCCCUGUGCCACCAAGAAGACACAGUGCCCUAAAUUAUUGUCAUGGCAAGCCAGCUUCCCUUCCAUGGCCAUUUGGCUACAUUUCUAUCUGGCAUAAUCUUGCCAAUUUUGAGGACAAGAAUCCUGAAGCCAGAAGUCCCUCUUCAGGUGGGCUAGUUGAAACUGGUUGGAUGCAAGAUGGUUACCAGAAUGGCCAUGAUGCAAUCUCUAACUUCAUUAUAAUCCUACCCACAUGCUAAGUAACACCCUUCCCCCAAGCACCAUGAGAAUUGAAAACUGCCAUAUGGAUGACCAGAAAUAACCACAAAAGGAGCAAAAAUGAGGUGGUGCAGAAAUUAGGGAAAUAUCCUCCCAUUCCCAGAAAAAACAUCAAUAUUCCUCACCAUUAUUUCUUUUACCCUACAUCCAUACUUCACAACACCCCAAGGGUGGGAAAUUGGUUUGCAAUUUUAUCUUCUACUUCUCCUAGUCUUAACCAAGAAUAAAGUCACUUUCACUACUCAA